rnacentral:rRNA from 1 species
GACGAACGCUGGCGGCGUGCCUAAUACAUGCAAGUAGAACGCAGUUGCGAACGGGUGGGUAACGCGUAGGUAACUGCUUGGUAACGGGGGAAAAAUAUUGGAAACGCUAGCUAAUACCGCAUACUUCCAGAUGGACCUGCGUUGGAUUAGCUAGUUGGUGGGGGAACGGCUCAACAAGGCAACGAUACAUAGCCGACCUGAGAGGGGGAUCGGCCACAAUGGGACUGGGAAACGGCCCAGACUCCCACCGGAGGCAGCAGUAGGGAAUUUUCGGCAAUGGACGGAAGUCUGACCCAGCAACGCCGCGGGAGUGAAGAAGGUUUUCGGAUCGUAAAGCUCUGUUGUAAGAGAAGCGGUAUCUUACCAGAAAGGGACGGCUAACUACGUGCCAGCAGCCGCGGUAAUUC